UACGUAGGGGGCUAGCGUUGUCCGGAAUCAUUGGGCGUAAAGAGCGCGUAGGCGGCCAGAUAAGUCCGGUGUGAAAGUCACAGGCUCAACCUGUGAAUGCCGCUGGAAACUGUCUGGCUAGAGUCCGGGAGGGGCGAGUGGAAUUCCUGGUGUAGCGGCGAAAUGCGUAGAUAUCAGGAGGAACACCGGUGGUGUAGACGGCUUUCUGGACCGUAACUGACGCUGAGACACGAAAGCGUGGGUAGCAAACAGG
rnacentral:rRNA from 1 species